CCUACGGGUGGCAGCAGUGAGGAAUAUUGGUCAAUGGACGAGAGUCUGAACCAGCCAAGUAGCGUGAAGGAUGACUGCCCUAUGGGUUGUAAACUUCUUUUAUAUGGGAAUAAAACGUUCCACGUGUGGGAUUUUGUAUGUACCAUAUGAAUAAGGAUCGGCUAACUCCGUGCCAGCAGCAGCGGUAAUACGGAGGAUCCGAGCGUUAUCCGGAUUUAUUGGGUUUAAAGGGAGCGUAGGUGGAUUGUUAAGUCAGUUGUGAAAGUUUGCGGCUCAACCGUAAAAUUGCAGUUGAAACUGGCAGUCUUGAGUACAGUAGAGGUGAGCGGAAUUCGUGGUGUAGCGGUGAAAUGCUUAGAUAUCACGAAGAACUCCGAUUGCGAAGGCAGUUCACUGGACUGCAACUGACACUGAGGCUCGAAAGUGUGGGUAUCAAACAGGAUUAGAUACCCGUGUAGUC
rnacentral:rRNA from 1 species